rnacentral:rRNA from 1 species
UCAUCAUGCCCCUUAUGACCUGGGCUACACCCGUGCUACAAUGGGCAGAACAAAGGGCAGCGAAGCCGCGAGGCUAAGCCAAUCACACAAAUCUGUUCUCAGUUCGGAUCGCAGUCUGCAACUCGACUGCGUGAAGCUGGAAUCGCUAGUAAUCGCGGAUCAGCAUGCCGCGGUGAAUACGUUCCCGGGCCUUGGACACACCGCCCGU